GCACCCGACCCUUCCAGGGGUCCCGGCUCGCGCCGCGGCCGCGCGAGGCGCGCUCGAGCGGAAGUGGCGGCGACCCCGCCGGAAGCGCGCGGCUGCGGCGCGGGAAGCAACCCAGAGCCCUCCUCCCGCCUGCUCUGUGUAGGAGACAGCCUGCGGAGCCCACUGCCGGCGCGCAGAGAGCCCAGCAGCUCUUGAGUCCAGGAAGCAAGGGUGGGAGGAGGGACGAGCCAGUGGCAAUGACCCAGACCCGGACGACCCCCAUUGCUGAGCCAGCGGAGCUGCUUGGGUCCACGAGGCUGGUGUCAGACCUAUUGGGAGACCCUCUGCGUUAGUGAGAAAAACGGCAAGAAAUGGGAGCACGCGGAAACCUCCAAGACUAGAGCCACCAGAUGCCACCGACAGCACGCAGCUGGACCAGCACGGGGGAGGGCCUUCGUGGGUCGAGAGCUCGCUCGGGAGAUAGUUGGUGCUUUUCUUUCAGGAGAAGAAUCCCUGGCGGAGUCUGACCGUUCUCUGGCGCACAGCCCCGGGGGUGGGCACAGCAGCCGCCCCUGCUGAAGGGACUGACGCCUCCGACGACCAGCAGCCAAGUUAAACGCACUGUUCCGUGAGCAGCUUUGUUGGAGACAGCGCGGUUCACAUUCUCUUCCAACGGAGCCGCUGACUGCGGAGCUGGGAGGGGACGUGACAGAACCCAGCCAUCCAACGUCCCCCCACCCCUCCCCAGCUGGGACCUCCGGCUGCUUCCGGGCUGCGCUGGGUGGCGUCAAGGAGCCGCCCCUCUGGGCCGCGUCCCUCCCUCACGCCCUGCACACUGGCCCUGUGUGGCCGGCGGGGCGCCUAAAAGGGCGGAAGGAUGCAGGGGCGGAGGGGGCUCGGGAUUGCACGCCUAGCUCAGACCCCCCAGCCAGGACCCCUCGCGCUGUUGGACACGCCAGCCUCCCGACCCUGCGGCUCCUACGGGAGGUGACAAGGACCCUGCCAACCUGGCCUGAAUGGCCCAGUUUGAUACAGAUCAGGUUUUCAAUGAAUGAGACCGCGGUGUGGUCUAGGCGGAGGGAUGAGAGGAGGGGAUUCUGCUGGGAUAAGUGGGGGCGGGGUAAGGAGGGGAUUCUUUUCCUGGGCUGAGGAGAACGCAGGGACAAAGUACACAGGGGUAGUUGAGUGAGCAGGUGAGGCCCUAGGCUGGUUCCCCACCUUCUCAGGAUCGGAGCCACUCACUUCCUGGUACUCUCUGCAGUCUCCUGGCGUUAAAUAACAUCCCUUUGCUGGAGACUCUGGAUUCACAUCCAUAAUCGCAGCCUCCCCUACUCAUCCCCUCACGCUUCCCAUGAACUAACCUUGAAGGACCCGACCAGAGCCCUGACCUCCGUCCCACACACCUGCUACAUGGAAGGUGUUCUCCACAUCAGUUCAAGGCAGUGUCACUCUUCAGGAUGUUCAGGCUCUAAACCUUGGACUCCUCCUCCAGAUUUCUCUCUCCUUCCUUCUCCUUGUCUCUCCCUUGCACUUACGGUUCACUUUUCCUUCGUAGCUUUGUAGCUCAUUCCCCCUUCCACUUUCCACACCACCUUCUGGUCUGUUAAUUAAAUAUUACCUGGUUUCCACUGACACCUUCCCUGGGUUCCCAAUUGAAAAUCACAACAUCAUCCUCCUCCUCUGCUUUUUUUCUCCAAAUUAUAUCCUCACCCAAUUAUGUGUUAUUCUCAUUAAUCUUGCUUAAUUAAUUAGCAGACAUUAUUAAUGCCUGUUUCCCCUAUCACCACCACUAGACUAUGAACUCCUAAGGACUCCUUCCUUCCACCACUGUUGUACUCGCUUCACCUAGAACUGCUUGGCACAUACAAUGUGCUCCAUAAAUAUUUGUUGAAUGAAAGACUAGACACAACUUAGGAUUCACUCCCCCAUGUGGCAUCCAUAAGCCCUGUAUGCAGGUAAAAUGUCAGUGGGUUGACUAAAUACUGGAAGUGGAAAAAACUUCACCUCUUUGGUUUGCAGUUGUCUAGGAUAUUUAGGCCAAUGGAAAAUCCAGUUUUCCUUAGAAUUAAGCCAGUGCCGCCAGACUUGCCAGUUUACCAUGCUUGUCUGACUGGUCCUCAGCAUGGGUCAUACGUGUCCAAUGAAUUCAAACAAAAUCUUGAGAAGACACGAACCUUGCCCUUCGGCUGGGCGCGGUGGCUCACGCCUGUAAUCCCAGCACUUUGGGAGGCCGAGGCAGGCGGAUCACGAGGUCAGGAGAUCGAGACCAUCCUGGCUAACAUGGUGAAACCCCGUCUCUACUAAAAAUACAAAAAAUUAGCCGAGCGUGGUGGCGGGCGCCUGUAGUCCCAGCUACUCAGGAGGCUGAGGCAGGAGAAUGGCGUGAACCCGGGAGGCGGAGCUUGCAGUGAGUGAGCCGAGAUCGCACCCCUGCACUCCAGCCUGGGCGACAGAGCGAGACUCCGUAAAAAAACAAAAAAAAAACCUUGCCCUUCAUUCCCCAUUUCUAUCAUAAUCUACACAGAGUUUUGAACAGGCAUUUUAAAAUCAACAAUAUAUUAUUUACAAUUUUGUUAGUAUACAUAACUCUAACUCACUGUUAAAAAUCACCUGUCUUUAUAUCCAUUAAAUGACACUUGCAUAUGCUCCAAUUUUUCACUAAUGAUUUCGAGAGCAUUCUGGGACACAGGUGUCUGGACCUUUCAUAAGUAAACAGAAUUCCUAGCGACGGAAUUGUGUAUGCAGUAUGGAAACACCUUAUAAUAUACUGUCCUGGAUAUUGUAAAGGUGAACCAACAUUCUGUUAAAUUUAGAGCAAGUUGCAGAAAACUAUAUGAUACUUAAUUCUGUGCUAUAUGUAUAAUGGUUUCUUAGGGUUUUUUAAAUUUUUUUUUUCUUAGAGACAGUGUCUCACUCUCUUGCCCAGUCUGGAGUACAGUGGCACAAUCACAGCUCACUGCAGCCUCGACCUCCUAGGCUCAAGUGAUACUCCCACCUCACCUCCCAAGUAGCUGGGACUACAGGCAUGUGCCACCAUGUCCAGCUAACUUUUUUUUUUAUAUAAGAGAGAGGGACCCCACUACGUUGCCCAGGUUAGUCUUGAACUCCUGGGCUCAAGCAAUCCUGCCUCAGCCUCCCAAAGUGCUGGCACUACAGGCAUCAGCCACUGCACCCUGUCUGCUGCCAUAUAUAAUGUACAUUUUAAGAACUCUAUAUAGAUUCAUUUAUGUAUAUGUUUAGAAAAAAAUUCUGGAAU
rnacentral:lncRNA from 10 species